ensembl:snRNA U1 U1 spliceosomal RNA
AUACUUACCUGGCGGGGGAGAAACUAUGAUCACGAAAAUGGUUUUCCCAGGGUUAGUCUUGUCUAUUGCACUCCUGAAGUGCUAACUGCUGUGAUUUCCCCAAAUGCAGGAAACUCGACUGCAUAAUUUGUGGUAGUGGGGACUGUGUUCGUGCUCUCCCCUG